UGAUGCAUCAAAAUGUAGAAGCUUGACAUCCGUAGAUGGUGCCCACGUGCAUGCCCACCCCUUACAUGCCAUCCAAACAUGUAAAGUGGAAAGGAAUCAAAGGAUGUACUCGUAAUUUUGUCGGUCAGUAGUACCUAUCUGUUUCUUCUAAUGUAUAAUCUCUCGUUUUCUCCGCAGCUCACGAUCCAUGGCUCCAUCUUCUCUAUUUAGUUUAAAAUACAGACGAAAAAUUCUUUUUUGAUGCUAACUUAUCGAUGGAUUCAAAAAAGUAUGAAGUGAAGAGAUAACUGGUUACGUAUUUUCACUUCAGGUAAGUACCCCUUCACUAAAAAAGAGUUGAAGUUUUUUGAAAUUUCGAAUUUGAUGCAUCUUCUUCAUAGGAAACCUAUGUUGCCACCGAUUUUUUUUUUUGCGUGUUUUCAUCUCUGCUACUGCAAUGAUCGAAUUAGAUCUACUAAUUCUUCUAUUCGAAACAUGGGUUUGAUUUAAUUGUAUCAAACUGAAGUGAAAAUGGCUAUGAUUUGCUCACUUUGAGUUCUGAUUUACUCAAUAUGAUGAAAUUGACAGAAUUGUGAAAUUUUGAUUUGUGUAAUUGAUGUAUAAAUCGAUGUAAUUCGAGGGUUUGGAUUGAAAUUUCGAUGAAUAUGUGACUGAUAAUCUUUGUAUCGUAGAAAUAUCAAUAUAAACUUAAUUUU